AGAGUUUGAUCCUGGCUCAGAUUGAACGCUGGCGGCAGGCUUAACACAUGCAAGUCGAGCGGAGAUGAGGUGCUUGCACCUUAUCUUAGCGGCGGACGGGUGAGUAAUGCUUAGGAAUCUGCCUAUUAGUGGGGGACAACAUUUCGAAAGGAAUGCUAAUACCGCAUACGCCCUACGGGGGAAAGCAGGGGAUCUUCGGACCUUGCGCUAAUAGAUGAGCCUAAGUCGGAUUAGCUAGUUGGUGGGGUAAAGGCCUACCAAGGCGACGAUCUGUAGCGGGUCUGAGAGGAUGAUCCGCCACACUGGGACUGAGACACGGCCCAGACUCCUACGGGAGGCAGCAGUGGGGAAUAUUGGACAAUGGGGGGAACCCUGAUCCAGCCAUGCCGCGUGUGUGAAGAAGGCCUUUUGGUUGUAAAGCACUUUAAGCGAGGAGGAGGAGCUCUAGACUAAUACUCUAGAUGCUUGGACGUUACUCGCAGAAUAAGCACCGGCUAACUCUGUGCCAGCAGCCGCGGUAAUACAGAGGGUGCAAGCGUUAAUCGGAUUUACUGGGCGUAAAGCGUGCGUAGGUGGUCUUUUAAGUCGGAUGUGAAAUCCCUGAGCUUAACUUAGGAAUUGCAUUCGAUACUGGGAGACUAGAGUAUGGGAGAGGAUGGUAGAAUUCCAGGUGUAGCGGUGAAAUGCGUAGAGAUCUGGAGGAAUACCGAUGGCGAAGGCAGCCAUCUGGCCUAAUACUGGCACUGAGGUACGAAAGCAUGGGGAGCAAACAGGAUUAGAUACCCUGGUAGUCCAUGCCGUAAACGAUGUCUACUAGCCGUUGGG
rnacentral:rRNA from 1 species